UUACGCCCAUAUCAAGUGGAAACACCUAUUCUCAUACAAUCACUGAAGAUAAGCAACAUUGAGCCUGGUCAGUGCCUAGAAGGGUGACCACUAGGGAAUAUCAGGUGCUGUAAGC